CUGGGAGGAAUACUUCCUCUUUGCUGGAUGUGGCGUCUGCAUGUACCAUCUGGAAUUGCUAUAGCCAACUUACAAAUACAGAUGAAAGCUUUAUCAACCUGCUGAGCACAGCCGAAUGGACAGAUGCAAAGCACCCUGCUCUUGGGAACUGGCCACCUUCAGACUUCUUGCUACAUCAGGAACUCUCAAGAAUGGAGAGUUGAAUGGUAGGGCUAGCACUUAAAUAGAAUAGCUGAAGCAGAGAUGACAAACAUCGCGUGCUGAUAGCUUACCAGAUCAGUGAUGGAAGUGUAGAGCAUAACUCUGCACUGACGGCUGAAAUCACCUCUGAGACACCAGCAAGACCCAGCAUGGAGCAAAAGGAGGACUGAUGGAGAGUGGCCCCACCAUUGUGAAUGCUGGCAUUGGAGCCCAUCACAACCUAUAUCAAAACAGAGGAGUCUGAACACUGAUUUGGACAGGAGUAUUGGAGGCUUCUGACUCAGGAUGCAGUUGCAAACAAAGCUGAUUCAACGAGGCAUGGUUUUAUCUACUACAAAGGAUAUCACUUGGGAAGAAAUUUCUUGGAACUGCUCCCAAGAGAGCCAUUGGACCAUGUGGUAAACAACUCCUAGCUGAUGGAUUACUGGGAAUAUUAACACCAUCCAGAACGCUAUGGGGAGAAGACAACUGGAAGCUCCGUGUGGACAAACCUCCUGGACUCUACCCCACAUAUCUCUUCCCUUGGCUGAUUUGAAUUUGUAUCCUUUCAUUGUGAUAAACCACAACCAGAUUAUUACAGCUGUCAGCAAGUUCUUCUACUGAAUUGUUGAAACUGAGGGUGGUCUUGGGAACCCCUGAACUCUACUGUUGGUGUCAGGAGUGAGGGAAGUCUUGUAGACUAUACUCCCUGACCUCACAGGUGCAUUUUCCAACUUUAUGUGGACAUCCCCCAACAACAUCAUCCCCUUCUUCAAAUAUGUUUCUGCUGAAACAUUAUCCUUUAAAUGGUUCCUUCGCUGCCAUUAUGACUAUGGCGUAAUCUGUAGUAAAGCACCAUUAAGAUGUUAAUAAAGAUGUAUGUGUGAAUUAAAAAGUGAUGCUAAAUGCAUAGUAACCAAUUUACUUCACAUUAAUAAUUUAGCUAUUUUUAUUUGUUUCUAAACAAAAAGCAAAGAGGAUCCAGUCCA